UACGGAGGAUGCGAGCGUUAUCCGGAUUUAUUGGGUUUAAAGGGUGCGCAGGCGGGGUGUUAAGUCAGCGGUGAAAGUUCCCGGCUCAACCGGGUCAGUGCCGUUGAUACUGGCAGUCUUGAAUGCGGUCAAGGCCGGCGGAAUGUGGCGUGUAGCGGUGAAAUGCAUAGAUAUGCCACAGAACACCGAUAGCGAAGGCAGCUGGCCGGGCCUGCAUUGACGCUCAGGCACGAAAGCGUGGGGAUCGAAC
rnacentral:rRNA from 1 species